GAAUUUGAGGGCGUCCUCCCGGCAACAGCAGGGGCAACUCCUGAGCUAUUAGGGGUAUUCUGCUGUUCUGCUGGCAGUGAGUUUGGCGAGCUACCAUCUGCUGGAGCCAAUGGCAGUCUAUUAUUAUCAGUAAGGUCUUCACAGUCAGAGCGUGACCAGCCCAGUUUCAUGUUCUCUCUAUCAAACACCAUGCGAUAUCCCGACAUGAAGUUCUGUCCAAUCGUUCCAAUAUCUAUGCCUGAAGGCUCCACAGCUAAACAAAACCCAACAGCACCUUGACUGCCAUAAAUCA
rnacentral:misc_RNA from 1 species